rnacentral:lncRNA from 1 species
UUGAAGAACACAGCCCAGGCCUUUUAUAGGGUCACCACGUUCCUCAGGUGAUUCCAGUGUUGGCCAAACUUGAGAACCGCUGCUCUAGCGUCUGCCGCUCAAGACCAGAAGGGAGAAACAAGCAGGGAAUGGAGCAUUGUGGAGGAAGCCUGUCUGCAAUCCUCCGAAGCAUGGAAUUAGAUCAUCAUUAUCUACUCAAAGAAAAUUAGAUCAUAUGAAAUGGAAUAAGGAUUGAUGAAGAUGCAUGGUCUGGUAUUUUUGAGAACCCAGGCACUCUCUAUGUGUCAGAAGUAAUCGUGGCAACCUCUAUGUCCUUCCAUUUACCCAUCUUAAUGGGGAAGAACUCAAGAUGUUCGGGAAAGGUUUAAAAUGGAGUGGAUGAACAGCCCAAUGAAGAAAUACAUAGGGCGAGGUUUGUGGGAAGGAGCUCGAAGCUUCCACGUCCUCUCUGUGCCCACCGCUAUCUCAGCACCUCCACAUGUCCACCAACCUGGAAGCACCCCAAUAUUUUCACUUAUCAUUAUGAAAUUUUCUGCUCUAUCUCUAAGGAUAAAGGCCCUUAACAACAAGCCUGUUCAAUCUGAUAUUAAUAUUGCUAUAUCAUCUUUAUUUUUGUUAAUAAUUUUCUGGCUUGCAGUCUUAUGCUUUCAUUUUUAAUCUUUCUGCAUCUCCAUAUUUUAAGAGUGCCUGUGCUAAAUCACAUGUAAGUAGAACCUGCCUGUCUGCCUUCUUUCUUCCCUCCCCUCCUCCUUACCCCAUCACCUU